GAUGAACGCUAGCUACAGUCUUAACACAUGCAAGUCGAGGGGCAGCAUGAAAGGAACUUCGGUUCUUUUUGAUGGCGACCGGCGCACGGGUGCGUAACGCGUAUCGAACCUGCCUCAUACUCGGGGAUAGCCUUGCGAAAGUAAGAUUAAUACCCGGCGGUCUCGGAUGGCCGCAUGACUGUCCGAGUGAAGAUUUAUCGGUAUGAGAUGGCGAUGCGUCCCAUUAGCUUGUUGGUGAGGUAACGGCUCACCAAGGCAUCGAUGGGUAGGGGUUCUGAGAGGAAGGUCCCCCACAUUGGAACUGAGACACGGUCCAAACUCCUACGGGAGGCAGCAGUGAGGAAUAUUGGUCAAUGGACGAAAGUCUGAACCAGCCAAGUAGCGUGCAGGAUGACGGCCCUCUGGGUUGUAAACUGCUUUUAGUUGGGAAUAAAAAGAGGGACGUGUCCCUUAUUGUAUGUACCAUCAGAAAAAGGACCGGCUAAUUCCGUGCCAGCAGCCGCGGUAAUACGGAAGGUCCAGGCGUUAUCCGGAUUUAUUGGGUUUAAAGGGAGCGCAGGCGGCGGCGUAAGUCAGUUGUGAAAUCGUGCGGCUUAACCGUGCAAUUGCAGUUGAUACUGCGUCGCUUGAGUGCACACAGGGAUGUUGGAAUUCAUGGUGUAGCGGUGAAAUGCUUAGAUAUCAUGAAGAACUCCGAUCGCGAAGGCAUAUGUCCGGAGUGCAACUGACGCUGAGGCUCGAAAGUGUGGGUAUCAAACAGG
rnacentral:rRNA from 1 species